rfam:Ornithorhynchus anatinus chromosome 3, whole genome shotgun sequence.
AGCAGCGUGGCUCAGUGGAAAGAGCACGGGCUUGGGAGUCAGAGGUCAUGGAUUCGAAUCCCUGCUCUGCUG